UGGAAACAUAGAGGCUCUUAUGGAAAUCC
rnacentral:piRNA from 1 species